GCGAGUCUUUGUAGUAAUACAAGGCAUACGGCUCAGUAACGCGUAGUCAACCUACCCUAUGGACAAGAAUAAUCUCGGGAGACUGAGCAUAAUUCUUGACAGAUCAUAAUGCCUGGAAUGGUUUAUGGUUAAAAUGAUUCGUCGCCAUAGGAUGGGACUGCGGCCUAUCAGCUUGUUGGUGAGGUAAUGGCCCACCAAGGCGAUUACAGGUACGGGCUCUGAGAGGAGAAGCCCGGAGAUGGGUACUGAGACACGGACCCAGGCCCUAUGGGGCGCAGCAGGCGAGAAAACUUUGCAAUGUGCGAAAGCACGACAAGGUUAAUCCGAGUGAUUUCUGCUAAAGAAAUCUUUUGCAAGUCAUAAAACCACUAGUGAAUAAGGGGUGGGCAAGUUCUGGUGUCAGCCGCCGCGGUAAAACCAGCACCUCAAGUGGUCAGGAGGAUUAUUGGGCCUAAAGCAUCCGUAGCCGGCUCUGUAAGUUUUCGGUUAAAUCCAUGUGCUCAACGCAUGGGCUGCCGAAAAUACUGCAUAGCUAGGGAGUGGGAGAGGUAGACGGUACUCGGUAGGAAGGGGUAAAAUCCUUUGAUCUAUCGAUGACCACCUGUGGCGAAGGCGGUCUACCAGAACACGUUCGACGGUGAGGGAUGAAAGCUGGGGGAGCAAACCGGAUUAGAUACCCGGGUAGUCCCAGCUGUAAACGAUGCAGACUCGAUGAUGCAUUGGCAUAUAGCC
rnacentral:rRNA from 1 species